AAACAAGAGACUAAAGUUUACCUUGACUUUGGGCCAGAUGAAGAAUUUUUGAUGUAACAUAUCGGGCAGUAUCUGAUUCUGCAGAUUCAGUAUUGAUCUUCUCCAGCUGAGCCAGGAGUCCCACGAUCCGUGAAUUAUUGAAACAAAGGUCUGUCUUGAAGAACAAUGUUGACAUCUAUACUGACAAUGUCCCAUGGAUAGCUGGCUUCAUCUGAAGAUUUGUCACUCUUGUUUAAAAAAAAACAAAAGCUGACUUCACGACACAGUGUUUUCUUCACAAAGAGGUGCUAUUGUCAAAAAUUCUGGCAGGUGAGAGGAAAAAGUUGCUUGAAACUACAAAAAAUGAUUAACUUUAUUAAACAAAAACCUGUUCACUUGAAAA